rnacentral:lncRNA from 1 species
CCUGGGGGUGAGUGCCCUGCCUGGUAGACUGCCUAUCCUCAGCUGGCCCCCUUGCAGGCCCCAUCAGGGGUACAGGUGCUAAUGAGUGCCACCCAGAGUGUGUACCUGGAGGAGGAAGGUGUCUACCGCUUCCACAUGGAGCACCCUGUGCCCGCCUACCUCGUGGCCCUUGUGGCUGGAGACCUCAAGCCAGCAGACAUCGGACCCAGGUAGGCCUCCGGUCCUGCUGCUCCCAUGCAAGGUGGUCCAGGCCUCAGGCAGAGCCCCCACAGCCUGGGUCUGCACCCUGCACCCACAGCUGCCCUGCCGAGGCCCCUGGGCUGCAGGUAUGUGACCUGCUGCCAGGCCCUGCUCAUCCACACAUUCUCAGACCAGACAGCCUGACCUGUCCAGUGCUCUAUCAGCCUGAACUUCCAGGGCCACAUGCAGCCACAUGCUCUCGCAGGUUCCUUUACCCAGUGACAGAGCAGAUCAAAAGGUCGCAGAGUGCGGGGCCACCCCUGCACUCGGGAGGGAAGGGCCACUGUAGCCCCUGUCCAGGGUGGUGAGCUAAGGCAGUCAGCCUGCCAGAGGAGGCAGAAGGAAGGCCUCAGCCCACCCUCUGCACCCUCUGCAGGAGCCGCGUGUGGGCAGAACCAUGUCUCCUCCCCACGGCCACCAGCAAGCUGUCAGGGGUGGUGGAGCAGUGGCUGAGUGCGGCAGAGCGGCUCUACGGGCCGUACAUGUGGGGCAGGUACGUCCUGUCCCCUGGCGGCCUGCCACCACUUGAGGGAGGCCACGUCCCUGCCCUCUGGAGGAAGAAGGGGCAUGCCCUAGGCCCUGUCCCCCAUCUCCUGGGAAGAAGGGAACUCCCUGCAGGGCUGGAGUGCUGCCCCUGAUGGAGGGCCUGUGAGGCCUGCUGAUGCCCCCCGUCACCUGCACUCACGGCACAGGUACGACAUUGUCUUCCUGCCCCCCUCCUUCCCCAUCGUGGCCAUGGAGAACCCCUGCCUCACCUUCAUCAUCUCCUCCAUCCUGGAGAGUGACGAGUUUCUGGUCAUUGAUGUCAUCCAUGAGGUGGCCCACAGCUGGUUUGGCAAUGCCGUCACCAACGCCACGUGGGAGGAGAUGUGGCUCAGCGAGGGCCUGGCCACCUACGCACAGCGCCGCAUCACCACAGAGACCUAUGGUACCACCUGGGGAGGAGUCUGGAGCCGCCUCGGGCAGAUGGGGCACUGCCCUCUGCCAGGGGCUAGAGCUGGCCCAGCCUCCUGUGUUCUGUGUCCUGCUCUCCUCUGGGGUCUGGCCCACAGGCUCAGGGCAGGGAGCUCAAGGGCCAGCGUGGCUCCACUGUGGCAGCUCUCCCGACUCCACCACCUCCUCUCGCCUGCCUGGCCCUCCCCACCCAGGUGCCGCCUUCACCUGCCUGGAGACAGCCUUCCGCCUGGACGCCCUACACAGGCAGAUGAGGCUCCUUGGAGAGGACAGUCCAGUCAGCAAGCUGCAGGUCAAGCUGGAGCCAGGUGCCUGCUCCCACCAGGCCUGUGCCUGGGACCCGGUGGAUGCCACCCACCCCUCAGGCCUCCUUCCCUGCCUCUGGCUUGCUCAGGCCGGGCUGAGUCCCCACAAAGGUCAGGAUGGGUGUUCCCAGCCCAGGGAAUGCCUUCUGGGCUACCCUGGCCUGCCCCUGUCUCAUGCCUUCAAGUGCCCAUCACUGAGAUGUGGACCCUCAGGUGCCCGAGCCCCCAGGCAGGGAAGGGCCAGGCCCAUCCCUGCACACCCAGGGUGCUAGUAGGACCCUGACCUUAUGAGGGACAGUGGCCCUCUGCCCAUCCUGCUCCUCAGUGCAGGCCACUGCCCUCCCCUCCCCUGCCAGCCCAGACAAGGUAUUCCCUGCAGGCGUGAACCCCAGCCACCUGAUGAACCUGUUCACCUAUGAGAAGGGCUACUGCUUCGUGUACUACCUGUCCCAGCUCUGUGGAGACCCCCAGCGCUUCGACGACUUUCUCCGAGUGAGCAUUGGACCUGCACCUCCUGCCUCACCCCGCCCCAGCACACAGGGCUGCCUGUCUUGGGGGGAGGGUGGCGUCCGUAGGGACACCCAGAGCCCUACCAGGACCUGGCCUGCUGAGACAGCACGGCCUUCCUCUCCUGUCCGCCCCAGUGGGCCGCUCACGUCCAUGGCACACACCCUGAGUUGCUGUGAAGGCCCCAGCUCUGACCGGGGCCAGGCCUGGCCAGCCCUCCAGGCCUGCUCAGUGGCCGCCCCUCCCCCCACAGGCCUACGUGGAGAAGUUCAAGUUCACCAGCGUGGUGGCCCAGGACCUGCUGGGCUCCUUCCUGAGCUUCUUCCCAGAGCUGAAGGAGCAGAGUGUGGACUGCCGGGCAGGUGACAGUGGGGACCGUCUGCCCAAGCUGCGGGCCCUACCUGGAGAAAAGCCCCAUCUGUCACAUCUUUCCUUCAGCCAGCCCUCACUGGCCCUCGUGGACCCCAAGCCUGGACCACGAGCACAAAGGAGGCUGUGCCUCCCAGCCUGAGGGGGCCUCCUGGAGGAGGUGGCACUUAGGUGGAGCAGGCCAAGUUAGGAGCCAGGGGACCAGGGCCCAGCGGGAUCCUAAGGGGCAGGGUUGGCCCUGCUGGCUCCACUACACCACACCCUCGAGGACUUCCCAGAGGGUCUGAGGGUAUGGGGGAUCAAGGAAGGAACUGGAGGGUCCUGAAAUCCAGGGAGGGGCCAGAAUCCGUUGGAAUGCAAUGAGGCACAGCUGGGAGAUCUGGGCACGGUGACCCUAAAUUCUGGAAGGUCCCUAAGUGCAUCAACUGUUUUUGGGGGGUAGGGGAGUGGCCAGCCUGGUACCACUGCUUUAGAGCAUGUGUCAUCACCUCUCACAGUGAAGUCAUCUUUAAAGGACUCAAUUGUCUUGUGCCCAGGCUGGGCCUGGAGAGGGUGGAGGUCACAUGGCCACUGACCCGAGUCCUUCUGGCUUCCCUGUGACCUUCACGGGAGUCUCUUUGGGGGCUUAAAGAGGCAGGCACUGGCCGGAGAUGACCCUUCCCCAAUCACCCAUGUCCCUGGGAGCCUCAGUUCCUGGAACCAGCCACUUCAGACUGGGUCUUCUGGGCAGCUGGGUGGGACCACAGGACCGCUGUUCCUUGCAGGGCUGGAGUUUGAGCGCUGGCUCAAUGCCACGGGCCCACCGCUGGCCGAGCCGGACCUAUCUCAGGGGUCCAGCCUGACCCGGCCUGUGGAGGCCCUGUUCCAGCUGUGGACGGCGGAGCCCCUCGAUCAGGCGGCAGCGUCAGCCAGUGCCGUGGACAUCUCCAAGUGGAGGACCUUCCAGACGGCACUCUUCCUGGACCGGCUCCUGGAUGGGUCCCCGCUGCCUCAGGGUGGGUCCCUCAGCCAGCAGGUGGCCCUGGGGGGAGUGGCACUGGCCUGGCCUGACUUGCCGCUGCCCCACAGAGGUGGUGAUGAGCCUGUCCAAGUGCUACUCCUCCCUCCUGGACUCCAUGAACGCUGAGAUCCGCAUUCGCUGGCUGCAGAUCGUGGUGCGCAACGACUACUACCCAGACCUCCACCGGGUGCGGCGCUUCCUGGAGAGCCAGGUGCAGACACCUGUCUGGGGUCGGGGCUGGGGGUGGCCUCACUCAGGGGCCCAACCACCCUCUCUCUCUCCAGCCUGACUGCUCAGGCAGGCAGGCACACCAGAGAGUUGGGUGGCAAGGUCUGGGGGUCUGGGCUGGGAACCGGCCUGAGUCGGGGGAGACAGGUAUAAGUCAAAGCUCAGAGGCAGCCUGGACUGCACCAGUCCUGGGAGAGACCAUGGAGGCCCAAGAUGGGAGUUGGUGUCCAAGGGUCUCCGCUCACAGCCUGGACCUGGACCUAGCUGGGCCUCCAGCCUGUGGUGUUCAGCUCCCAGGUGGGCACAGGGGCAUCCAAGUUCCUCCAACAGUGGCAGGUUCCAGCCUGUGGGACCUGACUUCCCUGGGGCACCCCUCCAGCCCAAUCAGCAUGGAAGAGGAGGUCAGGGUGACCGACUGGUGGGGGUCUUGGGCUGUGUGAGUCCAGACCAAGGCCUGGUGAAGCCGCUGGAGCAGGUCCAGGGAUUGGAAGGCCUCCCGCCAGGCGGGGUUGGUGGGAGAGGCCCGGGGAGCCCACUAGGUGACCUGGUGUCCCCACAGAUGUCGCGCAUGUACACCAUCCCACUGUAUGAGGACCUCUGCACGGGUGCCCUCAAGUCCUUUGCGCUGGAGGUCUUCUAUCAGACGCAGGGCCGGCUGCACCCCAAUCUGCGCAGAACCAUCCAGCAGAUCCUGUCCCAGGGCCUGGGCCCCAGUGCCGAGGCCAGCACUGAGCCCGACGCUGAGCUGGCCAGAGCUGGGGCAGAGGCAGGGUCAGACUCGGCAGCCCUGCUGCUUGGCGACGAGGCCCCCAGUAGCGCCAUCUCUCUCAGGGACGUCAACGUGUCUGCCUAGCCCUGACAUUGGGCCAACCUUCAACCUCCCAGACACCAAGAUUGUGCCUUCUGUGGCCCGGGCCGCCAUGACUGCGCCUUGGCUCUGGCCACGAGCUCGGCCCGGGCCCGUGAGCCUCUCCCGUGGGCUCUCCCGUGGGCUCUCCCGGGGGCUCUCCCAGGCUGGGGGCUUGGGGAGAGGGAUUCUGUCUAGUGGCAGCCCUGGGGGCCUGAGCUCACCCUGUCCCAGCUGUCCUGCACUGUGGGCCUCAGGACUGGCCUUAUGCACCACGCCUCCCAUCUCAACACUGACAGCCAUGCGUGGCCCCGGACACCCGCACCUGCUGGACACCAUCGUGGGACCGCAGCUCCAGCAGCUCAUGGCGACCACCACACUGUGCCUUACGUCUGCAGACAGGCUGCACUGCCCCCGAGGCACAGCUUCCCCAGAACCCUGCACUGUUAUCCCCUGGCAGAGGGACAAGGACGCGAUGUACCCUCACUGUGGGGGCUGGGGACAGGAGAGAAGGGGCAUCACAUGGGGAGCCUUGGCCCCUCGGCACAUGGAGUCCAGGCCCCAGAGGCCUGUUCUCCCAGCUGCCUGGGGUAGCGGCACAGCCACCCGGCUCACCCCAGGAAAGGGGUGGUGCUGAUGCUCUUGGGGCACACCUGCUGGAGGCACCAGGUAGGAAGGCUCCAGCUUGGGACUGUGCAGUGGGCACCACGUGACUGUCCCAUUAAACCUCCACUCUGCAGA